CAGCGCCCCAAGUGGUGCUCACGUUUAUUGGGCCUAAAGCGUCCGUAGCCGGGUCAAUAAAUCCUCUGUGAAAUCGUCGCGCUCAACGUGACGGCGUGCAGGGGAGACUGUUGAUCUUGAGACCGGAAGGGGCUGGACGUAUGCCAUGGGGACCGGUAAAAUGGGAUAAUCCAUGGUAGACUACCUGUGGCGAAGGCGUCUUACUAGAACGGGUCCGACGGUGAGGGACGAAAGCUAGGGGAGCGAACCGGAUUAGAUACCCGAGUAGUCC
rnacentral:rRNA from 1 species